CUGCCCUUGACUCAGCUCUGCAGAUUUUUCACGUGCAUCGACUUUCUGGAUCCAUUUGGAAAAAAAAAAUUAAAUUUAGAAAAUCCCACUAAAAAGCGUUACUGUAGAAACAUCAGACCUGUAAUUUGGCUGCGAGCCUCAAUGUUCUUAGUAGCUGCACAAAAUGUUUAAAUGUCAGAGAAGUGCGGCAGCCUUCAGCCUUCCUAAACUGUGACUUGUGUUGUCUAUUACGGUGCCGCUCUGCAAUGUCAGCACUGGCGCCCGGCCCGCGGAUUGCUCGGAGAAUUGGAAGGGAGAAGGAGCGCAUUGCUAUCGUAGAGAUCCCCGACACUGAGUUGACAUGGCGGAUUUACUGGAAGUGUCACUAUGUGUAGACCGCACAGAACUGUGAUGGACAAGAGAGUUUAUGACCAAGGAGCCAGUCUCCAAGCAUUAGGAAGAACAGCACUUCACAUCGCUACCCAGAUCGCAUAUCUCCUUUGAAAGCUGCGGGGACUUCGCUCUAUUUGCCGGCUGUCGAGUGG